UUGCGACAAUGGGCGAAAGCCUGACGCAGCAACGCCGCGUGCGGGAGGACUGCCUUCGGGUUGUAAACCGCUUUUCGGGGGGAAGAGGAAGGACGGUACCCCCGGAAGAAGUCUCGGCUAACUACGUGCCAGCAGCCGCGGUAAAACGUAGGAGGCGAGCGUUAUCCGGCUUUACUGGGUGUAAAGCGCGUGUAGGCGGUCCUGCAAGUGGUGCGUGAAAGCGCCCGGCUCAACUGGGAGGGGACGUUCAAAACUGUGCGGCUCGAGGGCGGUAGAGGAAGGUAGAAUUCCCGGUGUAGUGGUGAAAUGCGUAGAUAUCGGGAGGAAUACCCGUGGCGAAGGCGACCUUCUGGACCGUUUCUGACGCUCAGAUGCGAAAGCUAGGGGAGCGAACGGG
rnacentral:rRNA from 1 species